GACCCAAGAGGGCCAGGAGUGUGAGGGAGAAGCUGCAACUGGCCAGAGGCCCCCCAGAGAGCAUCUGGAGGCGUCAUCAGCAGGUCCACAACAACAGGCCAAGAAAAAGGCUGCUGGAGAAAGGUUUGCUAGGUUCUUCUCCCAACCACGGUGCCCUGUACCAGAUUUCUAAGUGUCUGGCCUGCAUCUAAGCGUACAAGCAUGCAGGAACCCACAUAGGCCACAAUAGGCGCUGGAUCCCUGGAACUGGACUUACAGGCAGUUGCGAGCCACCUGAUCAGCAGCACAGUGAUGAAGAAAGACGAGCGGGAGGCGUUCUCUCAGUAAGCCACCUCUCUAGCCCUCUUCUUUUUGUUUUUGAAAUUUGUCCUUUGUAGCCAUAAGUUCUGAUGAUACCGUUUCUAUGAACUGAGGAAUUCGUACCAUGGAAGAGCAUAUUAACCUUCCCUUGCCUCAUCCCUAGCUCUGAAGCCCCACCCAGACCGUGACCACAAGAGGAUCCUACCAUAGGGUCUCUGGAUCCCCCAAAACCUCAGACCCCACAGCUGCAA